rnacentral:rRNA from 1 species
UACGUAGGGGGCGAGCGUUGUCCGGAUUUAUUGGGCGUAAAGAGCUCGUAGGCGGUCUGUUGCGUCGGCUGUGAAAACCCGGGGCUCAACUCCGGGCCUGCAGCCGGAUACGGGCAGACUAGAGUUCGGCAGGGGAGACUGGAAUUCCUGGUGUAGCGGUGGAAUGCGCAGAUAUCAGGAGGAACACCGGUGGCGAAGGCGGGUCUCUGGGCAGUAACUGACGCUGAGGAGCGAAAGCGUGGGGAGCGAACAGG